GAGUUCUGAGUAAUGAUUGCUACAAUGAGUUUACGACCAAGAUGAUAAGACAUUUCAAAUCUUCAAAUUGCAUUUUACUGCUUUUACAUUUAAACUGUACAUUCUCUUUCUCCUGGAAGUGCUUCAAUCCUGUAACUACAGUAGAGUACGUUCACUCUUGUCCAGAAAAUCGUCAGUCAUGGAAUCGUGCUGCUGAAAGAAAAAACUGUUCUGUGCACCCACCAACUUGUCUGCAUCAAGAAAGACCAUUAUAUCACUGUGUGACGAAUCCGUGGAUUAAUGCAACUUUGGAAGUCUGUGCUCCUGAAACGUCCGUCGUUGGGUAUUACUGUCCUGAAUUUAACCUUGAAGGGGAAAUAAUUCAAGAAAAUUACCAGGUACUUUGUAAGGAAGCCUCUGUCGCUUGUCCGUUUUAUUAUUAUUCAACUGAGGUUU